rnacentral:rRNA from 1 species
AACGAACGCUGGCGGCAUGCCUAACACAUGCAAGUCGAACGAAGUCUUCGGACUUAGUGGCGCACGGGUGCGUAACGCGUGGGAAUCUGCCCUUGGGUGCGGAAUAACUUCUCGAAAGGGAUGCUAAUACCGCAUAAUGUCGUAAGACCAAAGAUUUAUCGCCCAAGGAUGAGCCCGCGUAAGAUUAGCUAGUUGGUGGGUAAAAGCCUACCAAGGCGACGAUCUUUAGCUGGUCUGAGAGGAUGAUCAGCCACACUGGGACUGAGACACGGCCCAGACUCCUACGGGAGGCAGCAGUGGGGAAUAUUGGACAAUGGGCGAAACCUGAUCCAGCAAUAGCCGCCGUGAGUGAAGAAGGACCGUUCCGGGUUGGUUAAAGGUACGACUUAAGUACGGG